rnacentral:rRNA from 1 species
ACGAACGCUGGCGGCGUGCUUAACACAUGCAAGUCGAACGGUGAAGCGCCUUCCUUUUUGGUGGGUGUGGAUGAGUGGCGAACGGGUGAGUAACACGUGAGUAACCUGCCCCCUUCUUCUGGAUAACCGCAUGAAAGUGUGGCUAAUACGGGAUAUUCUGGGUCUGUCGCAUGAUGGGUCUGGGAAAGAUAUUGUUUCGGUGGGGGAUGGGCUCGCGGCCUAUCAGCUUGUUGGUGGGGUGAUGGCCUACCAAGGCGGUGACGGGUAGCCGGCCUGAGAGGGUGGACGGUCACACUGGGACUGAGACACGGCCCAGACUCCUACGGGAGGCAGCAGUGGGGAAUAUUACACAAUGGGCGCAAGCCUGAUGCAGCGACGCCGCGUGAGGGAUGGAGGCCUUCGGGUUGUGAACCUCUUUCGCCAGUGAAGCAGGCCUGCCUCGUUUGUGGGUGGGUUGACGGUAGCUGGAUAAGAAGCGCCGGCUAACUAC